rnacentral:misc_RNA from 1 species
AACGCAUCUUGCGCUCGCUGGUAUUCCGGCGAGCAUGUCUGUUUGAGUGUCGUGAACUCUUCAACCCCCAAUUUUUCUGUAUGGGAAUUUUGGCGCGGCUUGGUUUCUGAACGUUUCAUGCUGGAUUCUACCCUCGGGUGGAAUCGAAGCUCGUUCGUAAUGCAUUAGCAUCCUAAUCUUCGAGAUCAGAUUGACUCGGCGUAAUAGACUAUUCGCUGAGGACAUGGCUCCCCGUCAAAAAGGGAGUUGUGGCUGGACUUGGAAAGCUGGAAGCUUACAAAACCCGACAAUUUAGUCAAUCAUUUUUUAAGAUUAGACCUCAGAUCAGGCAGGAUUACCCGCUGAACUUAA